rnacentral:sRNA from 1 species
CGCGUUUCGAGUAUUCAAUUUGAUAGUGCUGAGCUGCCUUAAAAGUACAUUUGAAGAAAUGACUUGACUUGCUCGUCGCGUAUCUCGAAAACUUGGCGCCAUUAAAUUUCUGGAAACUGCGAGAGGAUGUAUUUCUUAAUUAAGUGCGAGCAAUAUUAUGUAUUGCAUAAAAAAAAAUUAAAAUAGUGGAAGGAAGUAAAAUGUGCAUUGCAAAAUUUAGCAAAGGCAGUUUCGAAGCGGAGAUUAUUGAUUCGCGAGAAGAUCGUGAAAUACUGGACCAGCAAUGUCAAUAACUUAAUAAGGACUUACUAGAAGCAGAUACUAAGUUAAAUGAAAGUGAAGCAACAACGAACGAUGAUAAAUCCGAGGAGCCAUUAGCAGCUUAUAAGUCAAAUACUGACACAACAAAUAAAAGCAACCUGGGACAAUUUGAAGCUUUCGCUAGUUUGUGUUCGUUUCAACUGUCUUGUGCUCGUCUUAUAUUUAUAUAUUUCUAACAAAGGUA